GUUGUUGAUAGAGACAACUAUAAGUCGAGAUGAUUUAAGACGAAAUAAGAUGUCAUACUGGACCGCUUUUCCAUCUUCAGUGUAAUAGAUAAUUGUUGAAUAAAUAAAGUUUUAAAAAGUUGUGUUUAUUUCUUUAUUAGCAUAUCUUAACAUAUCAUAAAUGAGUUAUUUUCUCUCUCUCUCAGUCUCUCUUUCUCUCGCUGUCUCAAUAAAUCUUCGUGUAUGUUGAAUUAACGGAUCGAAAACCAUCCUGGAUGAUCUGGAUCGGCAACGGCUUUCUUCUGUAAUAGAUAAAUGUUUUUGUAAAAAAUAAAAGCCAACAAAAUUGUGUUUACUGUGUUUCUUCUCUAACAUAUAGGGCAUGCGGAAAGUUUCUCAAAUGAAGUACAAAGUUUGGCAAACUUCCCUCAAACUCUUUAUUCUGGAACUAACAAUUCCUCAGAAUUUACCACUUUUAGAUGUUUGGACACAGAAAUCCAAGGACUCUGAUGAGAUGGAAAGAUUCAAGAUAUAUAGUCGAAACAACCUUUUUUAAACUUGUAAAUAAUUUUAAAUAAAACAUACAGCAUGUAUAUUAUGUUUAUGUAAGAGAUUUAUGAAUUAUGUUCCAACAGACGGAGUUCUAAAGUUGUGUAGCUAUUUUAAUUGUAUUUAACUUGUAAUAUAACUAUAUAGAAACAAAAUAACUGAAUAAAAGGUUUUUGUGUUGGGUGUUCUUUAAUUUAAUUAGAUAAGAACAUUAGAAUAGAAUGUGGUAGUUUCCCAAUGAAGCGAUAUAUAAUUUGGGAUCUUCCACAUAAGUG
rnacentral:lncRNA from 1 species